rnacentral:tRNA from 1 species
GCCCGGGUGGCGGAAUAGGCAGACGCGCAGGACUCAGGAUCCUGUGGGAGAAAUCCCGUGCGGGUUCAAAUCCCGCCCCGGGCA